rnacentral:lncRNA from 1 species
ACAAAUCUUACUCCACAUCUAUUGUGACUAAAUUGUGUUCUUCACGCAUCCUAUUAACAUAUCUAAACCAUAAGCAAAAUUUUGGUCAUACUAACCUCUAAAUCGCUUCGGGUUUACAGUGGUCACCAGAAUAACACUUGGAGUGUUUCCUUGCGCUUUAAAUUUCUCACAGAAGUCCGUAGCAGCCUUGUCUCAUAGGUAGAGGUUCAUCACAUGACCACAGCAACAACCUGAGUCUCAUGUGAAAAGUGAAAUGGUAUAUAUAUAGAUCAAAAACAUUGGGAAUAACUUACUCAUGUGUUUGAGCAUGAACCAAAAUUCACCGCGCAGAAGCUAUCUCGACUUCAUCAAGCACAAGACUGUCAUUCAGAGUCUGCUCAUUCACUAGUUUCAUGUGACCAACAUAAUCUGCAAGAGGAAAAAUAGAACUUAAUACUCCAUAUACUAAACGACCGAGAACCCAUGAAUCAAACCUAAACAACUAAGAUUGAAACAUAACAUCA